UGGUGAUGAAACAGCAAAAAGCAGUAUGUUAGAAAUAAGAGGAGAAAUUGGGCUUUGGAAGUUGUCAGCAGAAGUUGACAUUGGGAGGAGAAUAAUGUAUCUUUAAUGUCCGUAAAUAGAAGGUGUUGUUUUUUCUUUUUCCCUUAAUUCUCUAGAACAGUUGAAAAUUUCCACAGCUGUUGAGGAUUCAGUAAGAAGAGUAAUAUAUAAAUGGUUGAUAGCUAGAUGUUUGCAGCAUAAGAAAUGUUUUUGUUUUGUAAAGAUGCAGAGAAACUGGCUGACAGAUCUACAUGGUAGGUACUCCCUACCUGUGCUUGAUAAAUAGAAGAUUACAGCAGCUACUGCUUUUAAAGGACAUCUUCCACAAGCAGGAAACCAACUUGAUGUCACUGCUAGGCUGGCUGAUAGACUCGGUUGAAGCACAAGGAAUGCCUUCUAUGAGAGCUGGACAGAAGACCAUGUUUUUUUUCCUAGCUCCUCCCAGAUGGAGUUCACACAAACUGCUCAUAUACAGGAUGGCAGUAAUAGAUGUUGGCGACUAUCAGUACACUGUGCUUCAGGUCUCUGCUCUGUCUGAAAUACUCUGUUUAAGUUCUGACCCCCUGAGCUACCUCCUUCUCUCCCUCUAGAGCUCAUCCCUUUGCAAGUAAUUAUGAAGAAAAUCUCCUUACACUUACGUUCUUCACUUCUAAUAAGUGGUUCUGCAAUAAAAGAGAAACCUCAUUAAAUCUGUAAGAGUUUGAGGAAGGAAAUAACAAUGAACAAUUAAGGAAUUUCAUAGAAAUUCAGCAUUACUACCAUAAACUCCUAGAAUAAGGGAAAAUAGGACUACUUAAUGCUCCCGUUGCCCAAGUGAAAAUUAGUUUCAGUUUCCAUUUGGAAAUACUGAGGAUUAAAAAGUUUUUCUCCAGGGAUUUUUGAUGAAUUCUUGGCUAGCCACCAGUGCUGUAUUAUCUGCUUGAAAAAGAACUGUGUUUUCAGACAGACCUAUAAACAUAACUAAGUGAAACAUAUGUUUGCUAUUAAGGUGUUAAAUGAUAUUACAUUGCUACUCCAAACUACUUUUUGUAGUUAAAGACUUUAUCAACAAAGGAAACAGUCUCAGGAAAAAAAAAACCCUAAUGCGGGUAAGAUCCACCACCAUGGUACACAGCGGUAACCAAUUCUCCAGAGCCACAAAAUGCUCAGAAGACGAGCAAGAAGGUGCAAUGAUUAUACCAGCUGACCUCAAAACUGUUGAGGCUCAGUGUCUGUGUACAGCUGCAUUAAGCUAUGGCUGAACUUAAAUGAUUCUUUUUGUUUAUCUGUAAUUUAUUUGAACAGAUGGCAUAUUUUGUUGCUUUGUUUUCAACUUACGUAUGUGGGAGAUUCAGAAGGAAAGGACUCUUAUUGUUUUAAAGUGUAUUUCUUUGUGUUUCAUUUCCAAUUUUAAUAUAUAGGCAAAUGUCACUGUAUCUGUUGAUCCUUGAGGAUGGUAUUUCAUAACUUUUGGGCACAUUGCUCUAGGUAUUCUGCACGUGAUCCCUUCCCAUGUACUCACUAGCUAUUACUUAAUAGUGGAAGAAAGAGAAACUUUUCUUACCAAAUUGAUUUUGACAUGAAUUCCCUGGUCAAAAACCAGUCUGGAAUACCUUCAAAGAGCUAUGGGCAGCAAAUCAACUGCCAUUGUAGCAGAAAAAAACUGCUGUAGACAACUCCACAGCUCUACAUGUAUAUUUUGAAAGUGAACAGAAUGAUUUUUGUCCACCACUUCUGUUGUAUCCUGCAAUCACUAAAUGCACAUUCAGUUGUUUUUUUUUUCCCAGUGGAUGUAUGCAAAAUCUGUUUUCUGUCUUUCAAAGCACCUGGCGCUGUAAAUAUUCAUGUAAAAUGGACUUCUGAAGUGGCAAGGCUUUGCAAGACCAGGUUUCUUAUUGGCUCUGCUGCUGUCUUUGCUGACUAUUAUUUAAAAAAAAAAAAAAAUUGGUUGUAAAUGAAAAUUUCCUUCCUGCGUAUUUUAUUGAUCCGAAUGAACAAUUUUAUUUACUGUUCUUUUGCUUAGUCAGAGCUCCAGAGAAAAGAAAUAGCUCAAAUAAUUUCCUCUUUGUUUCUACAAAUAAUGUUUAAAUCAAGGUAUUUCCAGCUGAUUCUGAGUUAUUGAAAGGCCCCGUUUGCCUUGAGUUUUGGUAACUUCAGUAGUGUUGAAUUCUCUUAUUAAUGAAUUCUGUUUUGGUAAUUAUAAAUAAUUAAUUGGUACUGGCCUAAAAUUCAUCCGGGUGAUGGCAUCGCAAUCUUCUUGUAAGAAAUGCAUGAAAAUACAGAAGGAAAACAGGUUUUCAAUGUAGUUUUAAAAUGAUUAUAAAAUACUGAAAUAAUAUAAAAAUAUUUUUGAACAGUUUUAAAAGACUGCUUGUAAAAAAUAAAGGAUGCAUUUACUAGUAAUGAUAGUCUCAUUCAGUAAACCAUACAGUUACCUAUUACUGUUUAGAGCAUAAAGUGACAGGUGUGUAUUUUAAGAAAUAAUAAAUUAUCUACAAAAGCUAAUGCAGUUUUUAGUAAUAUUCCCUGGAAAACUUCAUGUUUUGUUUUUAAAAUUUUGUUUCAAGACAUUAUUAUUUUUGUGGACUACUGUAAUAUUAACUCUGAAUGUGAACUCAUAAAUUCUACUGGUAAUAUCUUUUCUGUAUAAGAAGGUAUUUCAGCUCUCAUUUGAUACUAGUUCUCAUUUUAACUCCUUUUUUAAGGCAAAAGGAAUGUAAGCACAUAAAAGUGUGACUUUGAUAUUUAACUUCAUGUACCUACUCACAUAGACAUAAACUACAGGAAAGUAGUUUUUUGGUGUAGUAGCCCUGAUCUACAUACAUUCUGUCCAAAAUGUAAUGAGAGACAUUUGAUUGAUUACUUCACAAAUAUUCUGUCUGUCAUCACUUCAUCACAACUUGCUGUAGGGUUAGCUUUGGAAUUAAAAAAUGUUCUUUAAUGUCUAUAAACAUGUUAAGCAUACUGUUUUAAUCUUAGAUGUAGUAAGUAGAAAGCCAACAUAUAUAGUAAAAAUGCAGAUAUUUCAGAUUGACUGAUGUUUACAGGGAGUAGUUUCACUACUAUUUGAAGGGCAUUCCUACUCAGCUAAUAAGAUGAAUUGUCUUGUUUUGCAGCCAACUUCAAAGGUACUGGAUCAGAUGCCAAAGCUUGUGAAGAAAGUAUUUCAGUUCUGAUGAAAGACUCUUAAAAUGUUGGUCUUCAUUUUCUCACUAAAGCUCAAAGCUGUCAACAUAUUUCAUUCUAAAAGCCAGCAUUUAUCAACUUUCUCAUGAACAUCAACUUCCAUUCAUGAGAAAAAGUUUUUUUUUUAAAAAAAAAUCAUUGGAGUGGCUUGUGAGUAGAAAGAGGAAGGAUAAAGGAACUAUUAACAAUAUCUGUCCUACUGAGCUCAUUUUAUAAUUUGAGAGUUACCUUUGACUAUUCAUUAGCAAAGGUUAAAAACAUAAAGUUGGACAGUGAAAACAGAAAAACUUUCAGAUUUCCAUGGUUUUAUUUUUUUCCUACAGUGUGUUUUACUCUAAUGUCUCCUGGGAUCCCUUCUAAUUUUCAUGAAACCACAGCUUUCUCUCUCAUCUAAAUGGAUGUUGACAUUUGAAGUUUGUUGAUUUUCAAAAUGUCAGAUAAUUAUAGGGGGAAAAUGAAUUACAUCCUUCUUUCUCCAAAUGUAUGUUCAUAUCAUGUAAUAACCUCGGAUUAUGAAAGAAUUAGCUAUAACUGACAUAUUAUAAAACAGUGUUUCUCUAUGCUCCUGUAAGUCUUUCUGUAGUCUUUUAGAGAAAGCAACGGUUUUAUAUAUUUUUAUUUCCUUUUGCUGUUGAUAUAUACGUAUGUACAGCUCCUGGUCGUAUUUUUCAGUAAACUUUCUCAUAAGGCCUCAGAAUACCUAGCCUUGGAAUAGCUUACGGUAGUCUUUCUAACAACAUUUUGUAAAUUCUAGGAAAAUUAGUGUGGUUUUAAGGAAUGACAACUAAACUCAACAGAAGUUGAAGAGAAUGCUGUUAUCUUCUAUUUACAUGAAUGCUAAAUAUACUACUGCUAAUAGUGA